rnacentral:rRNA from 1 species
UACAGAGGGGGCAAGCGUUGUUCGGAAUUACUGGGCGUAAAGGGCGCGUAGGCGGCCUGUUAAGUCGGACGUGAAAUCCCCGGGCUCAACCCGGGAACUGCGUCCGAUACUGGCAGGCUUGAAUCCGGGAGAGGGAUGUGGAAUUCCGAGGUGUAGCGGUGAAAUGCGUAGAUAUCUGGAGGAACACCGGUGGCGAAGGCGGCAUCCUGGACCGGCAUGACGCUGAGGCGCGAAAGCCAGGGGAGCA